UAUAAAUGAAUCGCCUAUUAAUAUCGAUCCUUAACCACAAAAUGUUGACUAUAAAAACUCAGCACCGAUUUCAGAAUCUUUAGUAAAAAUAUCAUCGUUCUCUUGUUCUGAACUCUAUUUCGUAGAAAAAAAAAACAACCCGAUUCGAAAUGAAUUUUCUGCACAUUUUCGCUGUGGUAGCCCUGAUCUUGGCUUUGGCCACUGGACAAAUUGAAGCCAAAGGUCGUGGUGGUGGCAACAAGGGUCACUACAUUAGGGGUGGUGCUCAUGUGGCCGGCAAGGCUGUUGAAGGUCUUGGUGCUGCCGUUGUUGAUAAAAUUGGAUAGAUUCCAGGACAUCGUUAAUCUUAUUCUAAAUUGUAUAAAAUCAAGAGAAGACAAUAAAAACUUCUUAAUAUUGUGGUACAAUAAAUAACAAUUAAAAAUAAAA